AGUGAACGCUGGCGGUAGGCCUAACACAUGCAAGUCGAACGGCAGCACAGUAAGAGCUUGCUCUUACGGGUGGCGAGUGGCGGACGGGUGAGGAAUACAUCGGAAUCUACUUUUUCGUGGGGGAUAACGUAGGGAAACUUACGCUAAUACCGCAUACGACCUACGGGUGAAAGCAGGGGAUCUUCGGACCUUGCGCGAUUGAAUGAGCCGAUGUCGGAUUAGCUAUUUGGCGGGGUAAAGGCCCACCAAGGCGACGAUCCGUAGCUGGUCUGAGAGGAUGAUCAGCCACACUGGAACUGAGACACGGUCCAGACUCCUAAGGGAGGCAGCAGUGGGGAAUAUUGGACAAUGGGCGCAAGCCUGAUCCAGCCAUACCGCGUGGGUGAAGAAGGCCUUCGGGUUGUAAAGCCCUUUUGUUGGGAAAGAAAAGCAGCAGGUUAAUACCCCGCUGUUCUGACGGUACCCAAAGAAUAAGCACCGGCUAACUUCGUG
rnacentral:rRNA from 1 species